UAGGGAAUAUUGGACAAUGGGGGCAACCCUGAUCCAGCCAUGCCGCGUGAGUGAAGAAGGCCCUCGGGUUGUAAAGCUCUUUUGUCCGGAAAGAAAAGCUUCGGGUUAAUACCCCGGGGUUCUGACGGUACCGGAAGAAUAAGCACCGGCUAACUUCGUGCCAGCAGCCGCGGUAAUACGAAGGGUGCAAGCGUUACUCGGAAUUACUGGGCGUAAAGCGUGCGUAGGUGGUUGUUUAAGUCUGAUGUGAAAGCCCUGGGCUCAACCUGGGAAUGGCAUUGGAAACUGGGCAGCUAGAGUGCGGUAGAGNGUAGUGGAAUUCCCGGUGUAGCAGUGAAAUGCGUAGAGAUCGGGAGGAACAUCUGUGGCGAAGGCGACUGCCUGGGCCAGCACUGACACUGAGGCACGAAAGCGUGGGGAGCAAACA
rnacentral:rRNA from 1 species